rnacentral:lncRNA from 1 species
UUUAGCACUUUCCUUUCAUUCAUAGGGAUCUACUCAAGGUAGUCCAGCUUGCGCCGUGCCUAAUGGCCCCGUGGUAGUAUACACUCCCCACGGCAAUCCACUUCGGCACCCAAUCCCGCACGGGCGAGCAACUGUCGCGUAGGCCAACUCCGGAGUGCCGGCUUGUAGGGAGCUACCCUCACAAGCGUGUGCGAAUGAGCACGAUGGCAAGCAAGAAAAGUCCAUUAUCCACAUGUCUCAAUUUUCAUAUUUUCACAUACAAAGUUCAGAACCCUCGAUCCUCUGAUCGGAAUAUCAAUACACAAAUAGUAACAAAAGCUAAAGGGUAAAGCUAAAUCACAUAGCAUUAUAAUCUUUCCACUAGUAUGGCACUAUCAACAUAGUCAUGAGCAUGUCAUAGUUCCCUAUGUUAGAGUCAAGAGAAUGUCCUGGUUCUCUACAAAGUCACGAGAAUAUCGUUGUUCUCUACUCUACUAAAGCAGCCUUAGUAUGUCCAUUAGUUAUCUUAACUAAAUAUGAACAUAAACAUAGGCAUAAAGACACUUAUGCAUGAGUACUCUCUACUUCAUAGAGGUUCUAUUCAAUCAUAUGUAUACAUAUCAACACUAUAAUAUCGUGACUCGUCUCAAAUUCUGUAUCAAUCACAAAAACAUACAACUGUAUCAAUUCUAUAGUACAUAUAGAACAUAAAGGAGCUUCACUUGCUCUGGUUAGGUCCGACCCACCUAGUACUAGGCUCCGAUUAUCCACAAGAAGUCCCACAACGGCUCAACGAAGCCCCAAUGCUGCAGAAAAACGAACGUCAAGAUCGGAUUAAAUCUACGGCCGAAAUGUCCGAUUUCGACCUAAAUUUCACUUAGUACAAAGUAACUCUUUAAAUCCCUGUUUUGGGACUAGUGUAAUACCUCAAGAGACGCCUCCAAGAGCUCUCACAAGUCAGCUCACGACGAUCCAAAGCUCGUUCGCACUCUCGCUGCGAACAACAUCGAGACGGCAUCAAUAUCAACAUAUAUAGCAAAUAUAGUCGGAAUCUUGCAAAUUCAGUUUUCUAACUGAAAUUCCUGCUUACCUCAGGUUAGAAUAUCUUCCAAACCAGCUUCUAAGGGUACAAAUUCAGCUCAACGAAGCUUGAAGACCUGCUGCGAAGAAAUAAUUCUAAAUUGUAUCAAUUCGCGUAACAAUUUGCAUUUCGUUCCAAUAUAGCUUCAUAAAUGGCUAAAUAUUCCAAUUAAGCUUCAAAGUAGCUUAUUCCAGGUCUAAGAAGGUUAAUUCACAGCUAAAUAAUCCAAUUUUAAUUGCUGAAAUCUCAGAUUAAAGCAACUAGAAGCAAUAGCUCAAAAGCAACACAUAAACGUCUACUCGAACGUCGAUAAUGGAGAAAAUCGAGUCGUUUACCUUCUCAAGCCUCCAACCAGCACCCUACUGGUUCAGGACAGCAAAGAGCCUUCCAAAACACUCCCUCACACGUGCACAAAGGUGCUGCAACGCUCACAAAUAGCGAAGAACGCACGCGGCGACGAAAACGAGCGAAAUCGGCGAACUCGACGUAGAGAGAGAAAAACCCUAGAGAGAGAGAGAGAAGAAGGGAAGAGAAGCUUUCCCAGAACUCUUGCAUACUCCACUGAAGUCCCAGAGCCGUGCUGGGAUCAAAUAGGUAGGUAUCCAAUGUGAAAUUACCAAAAUACCCAAGCUGCCACGAAUCUGCCAGCUUGUACCGGUACAAGGUGAUGGCUGUACCGGUACAGCAAGCAGAAAAAUGCUGAGAUUUCGCAGGUCAAUGCAUUUUCUUAUUUUUUGCAUUCCAAUCACUCUCAAACUUGUCCCAACACUUGUUCUAACCUUUUAGAACAUGUAGGAGUGACCCACACACCAUUCCACACACUCGAACUUCGCAAUUUGCAAAAGUUCAGUGUAUUACAUUCACCCCUCCUAAAAAGAAGUUUCGUCCGCGAAACUUGAAAUCACUUACCUCAAGAUUCUGUCGAGAAAAGAUAGGGAUAGUGCUCUUGCAUUGCACUUUCCAGUUCCCAAGUGGCUUCCCGUUCCUCGUGAUUGCUCCAAAGGAUUUUCACGUAGGGUAUCUCGCGAUUACGAAGCCGUUUCACUUCUCGAGCUAGUAUCCUCACUGGAUGCUCCUCGAAGCUCAAAUCUUCUUGUAAAUCCACUGGAGCACUCUCAAGUAUGUGUGUUGGAUCAAAUACAUAGUUCCGAAGUGUGGACACAUGAAACACAUUAUGCACUCCCGAUAGGUUCGGCGGCAAAGCAAGCCGAUAUGCUACGGGGCCUAUCCGCUCCAACACCUCGUAGGGUCCAAUAAAUCGAGGGCUUAACUUUCCUCGAAUGCCAAAUCUUUUAACUCCUUUCGUCGGUGAAACCUUCAAAAAUACAUGAUCGCCGACUUGAAAUUCCAGUUCUCGCCGACGUUUAUCCGCAUAACUCUUUUGUCGACUUUGAGCUGUCAGUAGACGUUCUCGCGCAAGUCGCACUUUAGCUUCAGCUUCUUGCAGUACAUCUGGACCCAACACUAACCUCUCACCCACUUCACUCCAAUGAAGUGGUGAUCUACACUUUCUACCAUACAGGGCUUCAAACGGUGCCAUCUGAAUACUUGCGUGAUAACUGUUGUUAUAAGCAAAUUCAGCCAUCGGGAGGAACUGUGGCCAACUGCCCUGGUAGUCAAUCACACAGGCCCUCAACAUAUCCUCAAGGGUCUGGAUGGUACGCUCAGACUGCCCAUCACUCUGGGGGUGGAAAGCAGUACUAAAAUCCAAUCGGGUACCCAAGGCCUCCUGUACACUUCUCCAGAAAUGUGAAACAAAUCGGGUAUCUCGGUCAGAAACAAUAGAGACUGGUACUCCAUGUAAUCGCACAAUUUCGUCAAGGUACACUUGUGCGAGUCUCUCCCCUGACCAGGUUGUGUGGAUUGGGAUAAAGUGGGCAGAUUUGGUUAAUCUAUCCACAAUUACCCAAAUGGCAUCGUGACCUGCUUGUGAGCGAGGUAAUCCAACGAUAAAAUCCAUAGUAAUCCUCUCCCACUUCCACACUGGUAUGGGUAAACUCUGAAGUUUUCCCGCAGGAAGUCGAUGUUCAGCUUUAACUUGCUGACAUGUUAAGCACUUAGCUACAAAGUCUGCAACUUCCUUUUUCAUUCCAGGCCACCAGUAGGUUAACUUCAAAUCUUUAUACAUCUUUGUACUUCCAGGGUGUACAGUAUACGGCGCCCGGUGUGCUUCUUUCAAGAUUUCUUCUUUAAUAUCUGGAUUGGCAGGCACACAAAUUCUAUCACCGAAUUUUAGCAAUCCCUGAUCAUCCACUCGAAAAUCGCCAAUUGGAUCAACAGUGAUCUUUGCUCGAAUCUUUUGCAGGGAUUCAUCUUGAGCUUGCUUUUCUUUAAUUCGAUCGAUCAGGGUAGGCCGCACCACUAAUGACAUAAGUCUCCAAGGCGUAUCAGGAGCUACAACUUCCAAAUUUAAUUGCUCCAUUUCCUUUACCAACAGGGAUUGCAUUGUUAUCGACAUCGCCAAAUUUUCCGUCGAUUUUCGACUUAAAGCAUCUGCUACAACAUUAGCUUUUCCCGGAUGAUAGAGAAUGGUCAAAUCAUAAUCCUUGAGCAACUCCAACCAUCUACGUUGCCUCAAGUUUAAUUCCUUCUGAGUAAACAGAUACUUUAAGCUCUUAUGAUCGGUGUAAACCUCGCAACGCUCGCCGUAGAGGUAGUGGCGCCAAAGCUUUAAGGCAAAUACCACCGCUGCUAACUCCAGAUCAUGUGUAGGGUAGUUCUUUUCAUAAUCCUUUAAUUGGCGUGAUGCAUAAGCAAUCACCUGGCCAUUCUGCAUUAGAACACACCCUAAGCCAUUCAACGACGCAUCGCUGUAAAUCACAUAGUCCACUCCAGUAACAGGCAGUGCCAGAAUUGGGGCGGUAGUCAAUCGUUCCUUCAGUUCUUGAAAGCUUCUUUCACAGGCUUCGUUCCACAGAAACUUAGCUCCUUUAUGUGUGAGUCGAGUGAGAGGAGUAGACAUCUUUGCAAAUCCCUCUACAAAUCUUCGGUAGUAUCCCGCCAAACCAAGGAAACUCCGAAUUUCUGUGACACUGGUCGGCCUAGGCCAAUCUUUAAUCGCUUCAAUCUUCUUUGGAUCCACAGCUAUCCCAGUUUCUGAAAUCACAUGGCCCAGAAAUGCCACUUCUCGAAGCCAAAAUUCGCAUUUCUUUAACUUUGCAAACAGUUUCUUUUCUCGAAGUACUUGCAACACCACUCUCAAAUGGUCUUCAUGCUCUUUGUCACUUCGAGAAUAGAUCAAGAUAUCGUCAAUAAACACUACUACGAAUCUAUCCAAAUAGGGCUUAAAGACACGGUUCAUUAAAUCCAUAAACGCUGCUGGGGCAUUAGUCAGUCCAAAUGGCAUAACUGUAAAUUCAUAAUGCCCAUACCGUGUUCUAAAAGCGGUCUUAGAAACAUCUUCAGGCUUGAUCUUAAGCUGAUGAUAACCAGAUUGCAAAUCAAUCUUGGAGUAUACUUUCGAUCCUUGCAGCUGAUCGAAUAAGUCAUCAAUUCUGGGCAAUGGAUAUUUAUUCUUGAUUGUGACUUUGUUGAUUUCUCGAUAAUCCACGCACAAUCGAAGAGAUCCAUCUUUCUUCUUGACAAAUAACACCGGUGCUCCCCAAGGCGAUACACUCGGUCGAAUAAAUCCUUUGUCUAAAAGAUCUUGUAAUUGUGCCUUCAGCUCUUUUAACUCAGCGGGUGCCAUUCUAUAGGGUGCUUUAGAAAUAGGAGUUGUCCCAGGGACAAGAUCAAUCACAAACUCCACUUCCCUAUCAGGUGGCAUGCCCGGCAACUCAGCUGGAAACACAUCCCCGAAUUCCCGCACAACUGGGAUAUCAUCAAUCUUGAUGGCUUCACCACCACUCACAGAGAUGCUAGCCAGAUAGGCUACACACCCUCUCCGUAUCAACUGUCGGGCUCGCGAAGAGCUAAUAGUCAUUGCGAACAAUGAACUCUGACACCCUUUAUAAACAAACUCCUGUUGACCCGGUUCCCUAAAGGUCACCGUUCUGUUCGUGCAAUCUAUGGUGGCAUAAUACUGUGUCAACCAAUCCAUACCCAAUACUACAUCAAACUCACCUAGUUUGUGUAGUGCCAAUAAAUCCACUGGCAUAAUCCAGUCGCCUACCCUAACUGGGCAGCGAGGGCAAAACUCACGAACAUCUAGGGUAUGGUCAGGUACAAUCACUCGUCCCAGAUGCAAAGUAGGUGCUAAAGGAAUGCUAUGCAACUCGGCGAACUGCCGAUCAAUAAAAGAAUGCGAAGCACCAGUAUCAAAUAAUGCACGAACACGAAUAUCAUAAAGCAUAAUAAUACCUGCUACGACCUCCUGUGCUGCUGCGGCGCCCUCGGUCUGGGCGGCAUACAUCCGCCCACUCGAACCCUGCUGCGAACUCUCCGACUGCCGCUGUCCUGGUGGUCGCCUAGACUGAUAAGGCGCUGUCGGGGUGCCCUGGCUCGGAGCUGAAGAUGCAGGUGCAGAAGCUGACGAGGGUGCAGGCAAAGAACCUCUCGGGCACUCUGAACGAAAGUGGCCCUCCUGGCCGCAAAGAAAGCACCUGCCCCCACGCUGUGGACACUGUGGCGGUACGUGAGGCCCACCACAGAUAACACAACGCGGCGGUCGUCGACGCUCGGGUGCUCCACGGGGUGCUGAAGAUCCUCGACCCCUCGACUGUCCUGACUGUCCCCUCGGAUACUUUGGCGGUCUCCUGAAGGCCUGCUGACCACUGCUCUCAGCUGCUGGUCUCUUGCCUUUGCUUCGAUCCACAACAUCUCUUUCCUUCAUGAUUUCUGCCCCCUUCUCAACAAUCAAAGCCCGGUUCACGACGUCCCGGUAAGUGGAGAGGUUUGACGCCUGGACCAAUCUGAAGAUCGCAGGUCGCAAACCCACCUCAAAAAUACGAGCCUUGUCCUCAUCGUCUCGGACUACAAAAGGAACACAGUGCAGUAAUCGAGAGAACUCUCGCUCGUACUCAGCCACUGUCCUGUCCCCCUGUCUCAAGUUCCUCAGAUCCCUUUCCAUCUGCCUCUUCACACUCUGUGGAAAAUAGGUAGUCAACAACAACUCCUUGAACCUGUUCCACGUGAUAGCAGACAAAUCAGCACGGGGAUCCUCCCGGAUGUCCACCCACCACCUGUAAGCCUCGCCAUCAAGGUGGUGUGUCGCAAACCAAACUCGGUACCGCUCCUCAACAAAAGUGUCAUAGAAUAGUUUCUCCAUAUGCAUUAACCAUUUUUCAACCACCCAAUGAUCUGCUUUCUCCCCAUCAAAGACACGAGGGUUGCAGCGACGGAAUUCAUUCAGUCGUUCCAUCAUCCGCUCUCGCUCCUCAACCCCCACCAUCUCGGGUAACACUGUCCCAGCUGCUGCUACAGGUACUGGUGGUGGUACUACUGUCUCCUGUCGGGUCUCUGCCCUCGGAGCUACUGGGGGUGUAUCGGGUACCGGUGACUGUGCUCUCACUGUGGUGCCCCUCUCUGGUACUAUAGGUACAGAAUCCGGAGGUACAGAACCUGGAAUCUCUCUAUCGGUCGUCUGCCGCAGUAAUAGAUCCUCUAACCUCUUCAUCCUGUCCUCCUGCCGACGCGCAGCGUCCAUCUGCUGUCGUGCUGCCGCGGCCUGCUGAGUAACCAACUCUGUCAACGUCGCAAGCUGAUCCUGCAACUCAUGGAGCUCACUGGACCCCGACGUGACGGAAGUCUCUACCUCUUCCGCAGCGGCCGCCUCAGCCGCCCCGGCGGUUCCAGAACGAGUCGUAGGCAUCUUGAACUGCAACACAAAAACAAACAUAGGUCAAUAAACCCUAUACUACUGAACCCUCAUUGAGGAUAUAAACCAGCUAAUCAAGCGAAAGUAAUGAAAUGUAACGCCUACUAACUUCCGAUGUCACGUUGUCGGCCGCCAACGUGACCCUCUGCAAAGUUAGUACUUGCACAUCCCGAUCAAACUCCUACUAUUCGGAGUUUAUAAGUACCCAAUCAAAGUACUUUCGCUAACAACAACCUCGACUAGACAUCGUCUCUCACGAGCCUAUCCUUAUAGUCCAACCAGCCUAAGGUUUGCAAGGUCUACUAAGACUCAACCCUAGGCUCUGAUACCACUAUAAUCUGUCACGCCCGGGUACCAGCGGAAGCAUAUCCGGCACGUGCACAGACCCGCCAUACACCUGCAGUAUAUAAGGCGUCUACGAGAAGCAAGUCGAUAGGAAGUAAAACAAGAGAGUCCUAUCCUGAUAUCAGAGCAAAGUACAAGUCGAUAUACAACGAGUAUCCAAUCCGAGUCAAAAUACAAAGUGUAUACAAACCAUGAUCUCAGCAAAAAGGAGAAGUAACACUACUAUAAUCUCAACCCCGAAAGUAAAUAUACAUCACGGGUGUACAAAAAGAAUAGAUACAAUGGUGGUCUCUCUAUAUAUAUAUGGACAUCACCCUCGGCCGUAGCCCGAGUAGCAAGGUGAUCGACUAGCACGCUCCUAGUAGUCCCUAGCUAGGCGCGACUCCCUUGCCACGAUCCCUAGCCUCUCCUGUAACAGGCUCUGUAAAAACAACCACCAAAAGGGCGUGAGAACUAUUAACAAUAGUUCCCAGUGGGUAAGCCGCCAGCCUCGGCGAAUUACACCACUAGGCUCAAGAUGUACAGAAUGGAAAUAAAAGCAGUAAUUUGCAUGAUAUAUUUUCAAUGCUAACAAUUCAUAAGCCAAUGUUAACAAAUAAUGAACAUGUAAACAACAUGUGAUCAUAGCAUCAACAGUAAUGAAUCAACUGAAUGAUAGAAGCAUGGCUACUACUAUAAGCAUAAACAUAGCAUAAGUGUGUAAGUAACUACUGUACACUGUAACUGGUAAUCAUUCAUUACUGUCCAAUUUCCUUUAGCACUUUCCUUUCAUUCACAGGGAUCUACUCAAGGUAGUCCAGCUUGCGCCGCGCCUAAUGGCCCCGUGGUAGUAUACACUCCCCACGGCAAUCCACUUCGGCACCCAAUCCCGCACGGGCGAGCAACUGUCGCGUAGGCCAACUCCGGAGUGCCGGCUUGUAGGGAGCUACCCUCACAAGCGUGUGCGAAUGAGCACGAUGGCAAGCAAGCAAGGUCCACAGUCCAACAUGUCUCAAUUAUCAUGUUUUAGUUCACAAUAUUCUCGUUCUCGAUCCUUUGAUCGACAUUUCAGUAUAACAAAUAUUAACAACAACUAGAAUCCACUAGUUUAGUAAGCAUACAGGAGUAAUGCUAAUUUACAUAUGGCAUUAGAAUCUUUCCACUAUCAUGGAGGCAUAAAGCAUGUCAUUGUCCUCUACUUUAGAGUUCAGAGAAUGUCAUAAGAACAUCAUUGUUCUCUAGUGUCUAGGAACAUACUAGAAACAUAUCAACUAGUCAGCAUAAACAUGAAUACUUUAUGCAUGUAUGUUCUCUACUUAAUAGAGAUUCCAUUUCAAAUAAGCUAACAUUAAGGUGACGCAUUUCAAGUCCCUAUUAAUCAUAUAAGCAUAGGCUAGACCACUUCUAUAAUACAUAUAGAACAUAGGGGAGCUUCACUUGCUCUGGUUAGGUCCGACCUACCUCGUACUAAGCUUAAAUCAGCCACAAGAUGUCCCAAGGAUCAGCUCAACAAAGUCCCAAACCUACUGAAAACAAGGUAACAAAACCGCACCGAGCCGAUUACUUACAAUUCCAAUUUCGGCAAAAUUCCUAAUAGAUACAAAGUGGAAGCUUAAUUCCAUGCUUUGGCUUAGUUCAUUACCUCACGUUAAGCUUCCGGAAGGCCCUCCAAUGCCAAACGAAGGCGAUCCAAGGGUCAAAUACCUUCUCGCUGCGAACAAUA